AACGCGAAGAACCUUACCUAGACUUGACAUCUCCUGCAUUACUCUUAAUCGAGGAAGUCUCUUCGGAGACAGGAUGACAGGUGGUGCAUGGUUGUCGUCAGCUCGUGUCGUGAGAUGUUGGGUUAAGUCCCGCAACGAGCGCAACCCUUAUUGUUAGUUGCCAUCAUUAAGUUGGGCACUCUAGCGAGACUGCCCGGGUUAACCGGGAGGAAGGUGGGGAUGACGUCAAAUCAUCAUGCCCCUUAUGUCUAGGGCUACACACGUGCUACAAUGGUCGGUACAAUAAGACGCAAGCCCGCGAGGGGGAGCAAAACUGGAAAACCGAUCUCAGUUCGGAUUGUAGGCUGAAACUCGCCUACAUGAAGCUGGAGUUGCUAGUAAUCGCGAAUCAGCAUGUCGCGGUGAAUACGUUCCCGGGUCUUGUACACACCG
rnacentral:rRNA from 1 species